AAAAAGUUAAUAAUUUAGACAUCCAAUGCAAUAUAUUUCUAGACAGGAAAUGAAACUACUUUUUCUUUCUAAACUCCAAGAGAAUUCUAGUGCACUGUUUGCUUACUUGAAGAGGGCUUCCUCACGGUGAAAAUGAUCCCAGCUCGGAGACAAAAAAAAGUGAAAUCAUGGCCUGGAGGCUGACACUGGCAACGUACUAGCUUGUUCAUUCAGUGAAUCAGGUAACUCAUCUACAUAACGUGAUCCUUUCCAUAGACACUGGACGAAGCUAUCUUUUUGCCAGCUCAGACACGGUUACUGUUUUCUUAUGCUCAAUUCACAUACUUGCUUUCUCCGCGGAGCAGGUGGCAAGUAGAUGGGUAGAGUAUGAGUAGCAUGUUAUGGAAAGAGCCUUAAGUUGGAAUAAGAAAAACUUGAUUCAAAUCCAAGCUCUUAAUGACGUUAAUAAUGACAUAGGUGACGUUCUUCAUAACGUAAAUGACAUCUGUUCUUUAAGCUCUCUCUGAAUCUGUUACCUGAUAUACAGUGUUACAUUAGACAAUGCAUUUUAAAAGCUGUGCACCAUAUGCAAGUUACAUUUUAUAAUUACUUUUUUAAAGUGGGGCGUAUCACUUCUGUCUUUAAUCGUAAGUGCCAGAAAUCUAUUUGUUUGCCAGGCUCGAAAGUGGGGGGGCAAUUGGGACACAUAUGGGUUCAUGCCGGCCUUCAGUGAGCUGUCAGUACAGAGGCAGGCAGACAGGACAGGGCCGGAGCCCAGCAUGGAGUGACAGAACAGAAAGGAAACAGCUGCUUUUCUCCAACAGGAACUCCAGUCAGUUUGAAACCCAUAUGUUAAGAAUAUCUACCCUUCAUUUAAUAAGAAUUUCCUUUUGGAGUCAUCAUCAGCAUGCAGCCUUAUAGACUACUGGCACUAGCAGCAAGAUACUGAAGAAAAUGUGCACAAAGGAAAGGUCCACCAGCAGACGUGACUGAAAUUGGCUCAAGACUCUGAUGGACAUAAAAGUGAGCAGUGAGGAAAUGACAAAGGGAUAUGAUAUCAAGGCAAUCUGUAGGGUCAGCCAAAGAGACAGAGAGAAAAGAGGGAGAGAAGUAACGAGGGAGGGAGAGAAGGGAUAAUCAAGGCACAAUCAGUUCUUCAGGAAGUAUUUAUCUUCUGGAGAGUAUUUACAAACUUACUCAGAUCUUAAACUCCUCUACCGUUCAAGUUUCACGAUACGAUUAAGGAGCUGCUUUGCCUCAGCAGUACAUUUGAAUUCAAAUAUUCUUCUAUGUAUUUGGUUAAGUACAGGAGGUUUAUUUGUUUCUGUGUCUUACCUGAAGCAUACAUCUUCCUGAAAUGAAACAUGAUCUCAUUUCUUUGCAAGAGUGAAAUAUGCUCAUACAAGCUAAAACACUUCUAUUUCAAGGGAACAUUAUGCUUCCUCUGAAAGCUUUUAUUCCUGUUUGGCAGGUUUGGCUUGUUUGGGAAUCUAUUUUUCAUCAAACCCUGGAGGGCUAUAUGGAAAGAAGGAGUUUACAUAAUGAAUACAGGAUUUAAGCACACAACAAUGAAUUAGCUUCUCUGUGCUAAACAGAAUUUGUGCCAAGCGAUACUUAGCAACAAUAUGGAAACAAAAAUAUAUUUUUGAAAAAAGUGGAUAAGGCGAGCAUAUUUCUCCAUUUUUUUCCCUCAUAUUAUCAUGCAUUUGAAUGUGGGAGUGUGUGGGGGACAGGGAACAAGGGAUUUCAAUUCGCGGGAGCAGAAGUGAACCCUUGAAAAUGCUACUUUAGCCAUUCUAUAAGGUGACCAAAGCUGAGAUAAGUUGUUAUCUUACCCAGGAUUAUGGUCAUCAUGUUAGCACAGAUUACUGAACAAGCGUGACCCAUCAGGUGGGACCUGCAGGCACUAACCUAGUAGCACUCUGUCCCUGCAAAGACACAGGCUCUUUCCUCUGUCUUCAGAACUCAGAUCUGAUGUUACCUCACCCAGGAAGGCUUCCCGAAUCUUAGAAUUACUCACAUAGGACCACCUCACUGCAAAGGAAAUGAAAAGUGCAAGUUUCCAUGCGUCUAGAAGGACAAGGUAACAAGAUAUCUCCAUCAUUCUUUGUAAAUGCACCAAGUUGGGGUAAAAAUUCCCUGGCCCUGUAUGAAUGCUUUGGUUCGUCUCCUGUUUUUCCUGCUUGUUUACAGGUGUCUUACAUAUGAAAAAUCACCUCUGUCCAUUUGAAAGAAGAGAUCUAUUACAAAAGAUCAUCAAAGGCCAAGUAGAGAAAACAUACUUGAUGUUUAUAAGAGACUAUCAAUGGCAUAAGUAGACAUUUAAUGAUGUGUGAAUCAGGUAGCUGGAAUGAGAAAAUUCUGUGUGAAAUGUAAUGAUAUAAAUUAAAUUACAGAAUAAAAAUAAAAGAGCUCAAUCAGGAACAUUUAUAAGUACAAUGAGUCAUUAAACUGCCAAGUGUCCGAGAGAGCCAAGGCUGCAGAGACAUCAUUUGCCCUUUUAUAGAAUUCUCUAGGGACAGAUCUUAUUGAAGAGAUUUUAGAAGGAAAAAGAAUCAAUAGACUUAAAAUUCUGAAGUGAUUAUUAGUCUGGAUUAAUAUGGUUGUCUUUUUAAGAAUUUAAGGCAAUAGAUAAGGCAACUUAAUUAAAUGAUCACAAGCUUUCACAAUAAUAAAUAUUAACACAUUCUGAAACCAACUUUACUGUCAUCAUAGAACCAUCUCUCUCUCUCU